GGCUGCGUGCCCGAGCUGGUUGAAGGGCGAACACGCAAGACAGUCCGCCGCGACGCGUGAAGAGUCAGGGCGGCGGACUACCCGGGUUCGAAUCCCGGCGCAGCCG
rnacentral:tRNA from 1 species